GUGUGUGUGUGUGUGUGUGUGUGUGUGUGUGUGUGUGUGUGUGUGUGUGUGUGUGUGGGACAAAAUACAUUUCCUAACGCAUAAUAGUCAUGUUGGAGCUGCAUAGAUCCGUAUAAAUGUGUCAGAUUGUGUGGGAUAGCACUAGUUGGUCCCUGGAGACUGCUGUCUGGUUGGAGAGUCACCUGCUCCCCUCCAUGGAGACAGACCAGCAUGAUCAACAGUCGGCUGGAGGGAGUUGGUGGUUACGGUUACAGAAGUCAUCAAAAGAGAGCGCCUGGGGAAUAGGAGUGGCGCUAGGCACUGCAGGUCCUGGAUUCAUCUCUACAUCACCAGAGGAACAGAGGAGGAGUUGGUGGUUGACCCAUCAGAGGAGUUUUAUUAUGGAUGGCUACAGGUCAUGACCUUUCCCAUCUUCUACAUCUGGGUUCUCUUCAUCUGCAUAUGCUUACAUCAAAUGUAGCCUAUGGCUGGCCGGUUAUCCAUUCCAAGGUGUUCGCUUCGUGUCAAUGUACUGUUUCUCUGUUCUUGACUUCUGUUGUUUAUUUUUUGUGUUUUUCUUCUUUGUGUAAAACAUGUUGAGACCUUGUGCACAUGAAAUAAAUUGUGUUUUGAUUGGAAAGAUAAUAAACAGAACAAUAAAUA